rnacentral:rRNA from 1 species
CAUCGCCUCUUGCAAAGCUAAAGAAUAAGAGGUCCCGCCUGCCCUGUGACUAUUAGUUUAACGGCCGCGGUAUUUUGACCGUGCAAAGGUAGCGCAAUCACUUGUCUUUUAAAUGAAGACCUGUAUGAAUGGCACAACGAGGGCUUAACUGUCUCCUCUUUCAAGUCAAUGAAAUUGAUCUCCCCGUGCAGAAGCGGGGAUAUAAACAUAAGACGAGAAGACCCUAUGGAGCUUUAGACACCAAAGAAGAUCCUGUCAAACAACCCCCCAUGAGGGCCUGAACUAAUGGAAUCCUUCCCUAAUGUCUUUGGUUGGGGCGACCGCGGGGAAACAAAAAACCCCCACGUGGAAAGGGAGCACCCCCUCCUACAACUAAGAGCCGCAGCUCUAAUUAACAGAAUAUCUGACCAAUAAGAUCCGGCAAUGCCGAUCAACGGACCGAGUUACCCUAGGGAUAACAGCGCAAUCCCCUUUUAGAGCCCAUAUCGACAAGGGGGUUUACGACCUCGAUGUUGGAUCAGGACAUCCUAAUGGUGCAGCCGCUAUUAAGGGUCCGUUUGUUCAACGGUUAAAGUCCUACGUGA